AUUGAACGCGUGGCGGCAUGCCUUACACAUGCAAGUCGAACGGUAACGCGGGGCAACCUGGCGACGAGUGGCGAACGGGUGAGUAAUACAUCGGAACGUGCCCAGUAGUGGGGGAUAGCCCGGCGAAAGCCGGAUUAAUACCGCAUACGACCUACGGGUGAAAGCAGGGGAUCGCAAGACCUUGCGCUAUUGGAGCGGCCGAUGUCAGAUUAGGUUGUUGGUGGGGUAAAAGCCUACCAAGCCGACGAUCUGUAGCUGGUCUGAGAGGACGACCAGCCACACUGGGACUGAGACACGGCCCAGACUCCUACGGGAGGCAGCAGUGGGGAAUUUUGGACAAUGGGCGCAAGCCUGAUCCAGCCAUGCCGCGUGC
rnacentral:rRNA from 1 species